UCUGGUGAUUCAUAAUAACUCGGCGAAUCGCACAGGCCUUGNACUGGCGAUGGUUCAUUCAAAUUUCUGCCCUAUCAACUUUCGACGGCUGGGUCUUGGCCAGCCGUGGUGACGACGGGUAACGGAGGGUUAGGGCUCGACCCCGGAGAAGGAGCCUGAGAAACGGCUACUACAUCCAAGGNAAGGCAGCAGGCGCGCAAAUUACCCAAUCCCGACUCGGGGAGGUAGUGACAAUAAAUACUGAUACAGGGCUCUUUUGGGUCUUGUAAUUGGAAUGAGUACAAUUUAAAUCCCUUAACGAGGAACAAUUGGAGGGCAAGUCUGGUGCCAGCAGCCGCGGUAAUUCCAGCUCCAAUAGCGUAUAUUAAAGUUGUUGCAGUUAAAAAGCUCGUAGUUGAAUCUUGGGCCUGGCUGGCCGGUCCGCCUCACCGCGUGCACUGGUCCGGCCGGGCCUUUCCCUCUGGGGAACCGCAUGCCCUUCACUGGGUGUGUAGGUGAACCAGGCCGUUUACUUUGAACAAAUUAGAUCGCUUAAAGAAGGCCUAUGCUCGAAUACAUUAGCAUGGAAUAAUAGAAUAGGACGUGUGGUUCUAUUUUGUUGGUUUCUAGGACCGCCGUAAUGAUGAAUAGGGACAGUCCGGGGCAUUAGUUNUUCAAUUGUCAGAGGUGAAAUUCUUGGAUUUUANUNAAGACUAACUNCUNNGAAAGCAUUUKCCAAGGAAUGUUUUUCANUUAAUUNAGGAANGAAAGUUAGGGGGAUCGAAAGGNNGAUCNAGANACCCGUCGAAGUCUUAACCAUAANNUAUNCCGNACUAGGGAUCGGGAAGANGUUAUUUUUGAUUCAUUAGGGCACNUUACACGAAAAGUAAAAGUUUNUGGGUUCUGGGGGGAGGUAUGGUCGCAAGCCUGAAACUUAAAGAAAUUGACGGAAGGGCACCACCAGGGGUGGAGCNUGCGGCUUAAUUUGACUCAACACGGGGAAACUCACCAGGUCCAGACACAAGUAGGAUUGACAGAUUGAGAGCUCUUUCUUGAUUUUGUGGGUGGUGGUGCAUGGCCGUUCUUAGUUGGUGGAGUGAUUUGUCUGCUUAAUUGCGAUAACGAACGAGACCUUAACCUGCUAAAUAGCCCGUAUUGCUCUGGCAGUGCGCUGGCUUCUUAGAGGGACUAUCGGCUCAAGCCGAUGGAAGUUUGAGGCAAUAACAGGUCUGUGAUGCCCUUAGAUGUUCUGGGCCGCACGCGCGCUACACUGACAGAGCCAGCAAGUACUCCCUUGGCCGGAAGGCCCGGGUAAUCUUGUUAAACUCUGUCGUGCUGGGGAUAGAGCAUUGCAAUUAUCGCUCUUCAACGAGGAAUCCCUAGUAAGCGCAAGUCAUCAGCUUGCGUUGAUUACGUCCCUGCCCUUUGUACACACCGCCCGUCGCUACUACCGAUUGAAUGGCUCAGUGAGG
rnacentral:rRNA from 1 species